rnacentral:lncRNA from 1 species
CACGGCGGUUUAGAUUGGGUAUUUUGGACUUCUUGUCCGGUUAACGCAUAUGUCUAUAGUAGCAGUUGUUGCAUGCAUACUUACAGUUCUUUCUAUAUACUUGUUUUGCUACUAUAGUUUGAUACGCAGGUAUGUUUUAUAUUCUUCUUUACAGUAGCGGUAGUCGUUCUUAUAUAUUCUGUUCAUGUAUUAUUAUUGCUACUGUAUUUAGUAUAUCU